CUCCCUUUGGCCUGAGAUCACGAGAUCCGAGGAGCUGCAGCUCUUCCCGUCACUCGUUGAGUUCCGAGAUCUUCUCCAAGUCAUUAAGGUUUCGAGGCUGUCGUUUGGCAACUCGAACCUUCAGCUCCCUCCACAGAUAGCAACAACGGAGGGCAGAGGGGCUUCACUCACAACAACAAGCAGAGCGCCGGGCAGCUAAAACGCAAACAACCACGCGAAGACGGAAUUCACUGUAAGGGCUGAUGCCGUUUAUUAACACUGUUCACACGACAUUUACUCACACCAGAGGUCAAAAACUGUGGAAUCGGCUUGCACACAAAGCAGGCGCCGCGUAUCUCAGGCGCCAUUGACGUACUUCUCGACCAAUAAAUCACAUGGAGGAGAGCCUCGACACAGUCUAGUUCUAAAAGGCACCAAUGUGGCCAGUGUUCAUACAGCACGGAUUGCACUGAACACUUUAAGCAGCACCAGAGAACACGCACAGAAUCAAGCACAUGAAGGAGAGAGCCUCGACACAGCCCGGUGCUAAAAGGCACCAAUGUGGACAUUGUUCAUACAGCACGGAUAGCAAUGGACACUUGAAGCAACAUCAGAGAACGCACACGGGCGAGAAGCCGUUCAAGUGUAUUGUGUGCAGAAAGACAUUUUUACAGUCAAUACACCUUCAAAAUCAUCAGAGAACGCACUCAGGAGAGAAGCCCUUCAUGUGCACUGUUUGUGGGAAAUCAUUUGCUCGUUCAGAAACUCUUCAUAUUCAUCAGCGAACACACACGGGUGAGAAGCCCUUCAAGUGCACUGUGUGCGGGAGGGCAUUUGCUCAUUCAAAAACUCUUAAGAAUCAUCAUAAAACACAUACAGGUGAAAAGCCCUUUAAGUGCACCGUCUGU